rnacentral:rRNA from 1 species
GAGUGGACUGAGAUCUGUAAGCCUCGCGAUCAAGGUGGCCUCAAGAUUAUGUCAUCCAAACGCAUGAACAUUGCCCUCCUAACUAGAUGGCAUUGGCGGAUUGCGAACGGAGAGGGUGGCUUGUGGCUCCGCAUCAUUUAG